UACGAGUUUGAUCAUGGCUCAGAAUGAACGUUGGCGGCGUGGAUUAGGCAUGCAAGUCGAGCGCUCAUAGCAAUAUGGGAGCGGCGAACGGCGUAGUAAGACGUAGGAACGUACCCUCGGGUCGGGGAUAGCUACGGGAAACUGUAGGUAAUACCCGAUAAUCUCUGCGGAGCAAAGGUGUGAUUCCGCCUGAGGAGCGGCUUACGCGAUAUUAGCUAGUUGGUGGGGUAAUGGCCUACCAAGGCGAUGAUGUCUAGGGGGUGUGAGAGCAUGGCCCCCCACGACCGGAACUGAGAUACUGUCCGGACACCUACGGGUGGCUGCAGUCGAGAAUCUUCCGCAAUGGACGAAAGUCUGACGGAGCGACGCCGCGUGCGGGAUGAAGGCCCUUGGGUUGUAAACCGCUGUCAGAGGGGAUGAAAUCUUCGGAGGUACUCCUCCGAAGUUGACAGAGCCUCAAAGGAAGCACGGGCUAAGUACGUG
rnacentral:rRNA from 1 species